rnacentral:rRNA from 1 species
AGUUUGAUUAUGGCUCGAGGACGAACGGCUGGCGGCGUGCCUAACACAUGCAAGUCGAGCGGAGUCAGUAAGAGGAAGUUUCGGAUGGAAUCUUGUUGAUUUAGCGGCGGACGGGUGAGUAACGCGUGAGCGACCAACCUUGCACAGGGGGAUAACGGACCGAAAGGUUCACUAAUACCGCAUGAGACCACGGUGUUGCAUGACACAGAGGUCAAAGGAGCAAUCCGGUGCAAGACGGGCUCGCGUCCGAUUAGGUAGUUGGAGGGUAACGGCCCACCAAGCCUAUGAUCGGUAGCCGACCUGAGAGGGUGAUCGGCCACAUUGGAACUGAGAUACGGUCCAAACUCCUACGGGAGGCAGCAGUGGGGAAUAUUGGGCAAAUGGGGGAAACCCUGACCCAGCAACGCCGCGUGAAGGAAGAAGGUUUUCGGAUUGUAAACUUCUGUCCUUGGUGAAGAGAAGAAGACGGUAGCCAAGGAGGAAGCCCCGGCUAACUACGUGCCAGCCGCUGC